AAUCAGAGAGUGCUCCGUGUAGGAGCGGGAGGGCGGGCGGGAGUGAGGGAGGGAGAGGCAGCGCCGCACGGACGGGAACAGCAGCGGCGGGAAGGGAAUCUUGACAAUGGCAACAGCACAGUCUGUCUUUGCUUUCGCUGUCUGCAUUCUGAUGAUAUCACAAUUUAUCUUAGCAAAGAAAGAUUAUUAUGAAAUUUUGGGGGUGCCAAAAAAUGCAUCAGACCGUCAAAUCAAGAAGGCGUUCCACAAACUAGCAAUGAAGUACCACCCGGAUAAAAAUAAAGAUCCAAAUGCAGAGGCCAAGUUCAGGGAGAUUGCAGAGGCAUACGAGGUCCUAUCGGACGAGAGGCAGAGGAAGGAGUAUGAUCAGAUGGGUCCUCGGUUCUUCAAUGCCGGCCGUGGUGCCCACCAAACUGGUUCUUUUAACUUUAAGUUUGACGACUUCCUUAAGGACUUUGACUUUGACUUCAGCCACCGAGCACAAGACAAGAAGCACUUCAACGCUCACUUCAGGGCACACCAGGAAGCUCACAACGCACACCGCUUUUCCUUUGGAGACAGACAGUUCCCUUUUGGAGGUGGGAUGUUUGACGACGUGUUUGAAGACAUGGAGAAGAUGUUCUCCUUCAGCAACUUUGGCAGCACGCACAAGCACACAGUGAGAACUGAGAAGUUUCAGACCACUGGCAAGCAGCAGUGCAAGACAGUCACACAGCGCAGAGGCAACAUGGUGACCACCUACACCGACUGUUCAGUGCCCUAGCUGCCCUGAGGCCCGCUGUAAACCACACACAAUCGCUAACUUGCACAACAACCAAUGUUUUCCUCUUAGUUUGUGUGGCCCUUUUAUAGAAAUGUAUUGGGUGCAAUGAACUAAAUUAGGCUAGAAAUCGUACUUAGCAGAAGCAUACACUUUCUUAGUAAAAUUCCAAAUAAAGAAAAUAACACAAUAGUAAGAACAAUUAUAAUCAGAGCUAGCUCAGCAAGUGAAGUAACAGGUUGAAAUGAAAUGAUGGAGGUUGUUCUGUAACAUGGCUGCAUUUAUUGAAUGUAGGUUUGAGAGCAGAUCUUGUGACUGGGUUAAAGGAGAGACAGUGUUGUGAUGUAACUGCAUUACCUGUUCACUGACUUGCCCGGCGCUUCAUGUGAGCUGCAGCUUCCCACAAUCCCAUCUCCAUCUCAAUGCUCAUCCCUUGCCUUAUUGCUUUUGUUUAACGGGUUAAAGGGUUUGCAGACUUGGAUUUGUUACCUUGCCAUGAUGUUUUGGGGCCUUUGAUUUGAACACGAUUGUUCUACAAAUGCAGACCGAUAGUAAGGAGUUUCCUUGUUUGAACAAUAACUAUUUGGGUGGAUAGAGAGAAAUGCAGCAUUUGACUGAUUUGUUAAUUUUGUGAUAUAUAUAAAGUGACAGAAAGAAACUAUACGAAUGGUUAAUUUCUGCAAAGCUCAAACAAACUACAAGCUGCUGAAUAAAACUGCAUUUUAGCAGUGCUUGGAAUUUGCCUAAACGCAUGUAACAAACAAAGCAUACAACAUUAUAAAGCACAACAUGCUUUUAUGUUUAGGUGGGGCCAGCUCUCUAACAAAACUAACAAAAUUACGCUACACAAUGGAUAGUUGUUCUGUUGUUAACCAUUAACUGCAGUGUUCAGCAAAUGUAACAAUUUAAAAUAAGAAAGUUGUACUUCCUCCAGUUUUAAUGUGAUUGCCUGUUUUUUUUUGCCACGUGUCUUUUCUUGAUUAUUAAAUCUUGAUUACCUCAUGUCACCGUCUGAAAAGCUGAGGUGAAGAUGGGUGUACUGUCAGGUGCUCAUGUCACCGUGAAGAUGGGUGUACUGUCAGGUGCAAUAUUAGCAUGCGGAGACCCGUCUCUGCGUUACAAAUGUUAAGUGGACUCUAUAAGUUUAUUAAAAAUUGUCAACUCUCCAAAAUGUCUGCACUUUUCCAAAAUGCACUUGUUAAAUAAAUCCUGAUGAUAAGGCAUUGCAUU